ACAUUUUGCACAGGGGAUACCGUGAUCAGUCACAUGAUGCGGUUCCCCCAGAGCGAGGCCUGUUUAUUGCACUACGAACAGGUUGACCUCUGCGAUUAUCAUGGAUAACUCUGGUGCAAAUAAAUAGAAUGAAUACUUACUGGAAGCUUCGAUCAAAUUUCUUUGGUCGAAG
rnacentral:snRNA from 12 species